GUUGCUUCAAUGAGGGCUACACACAUUUAAGAUGUUUGGACACCAAAUCCAAAACUAUUAUUUUCAGAAAAAUGAGGGAAGAUAUAAAUCAGCAUUUACUUUUAAUCAUCGAGUUCGAGGAUCUUCACUACCGAAGCAUCUCCCACUUUCUGGCAAACAACGACACGGUCGUGCGGCUUUAUGACACCACAAGUCUUGCCAUGAUCGAGCGCAACCUUGAGAACUGACUCAUUGGUCGCACCGGUAGACUCAGCAGGAUGUCUAGGGUCCGCGAGCAUAGGGAAUAGUCCUCUUACGAUAAGAGAUUGUCUAGCUUCAAAAGCACCAAUGAAACGCCAUCGAAGUUGGUUUGUUUUCAGACGAGGAAUCACGACAGAUAGUACAGGCAUGGUAGGUCUGUACUUCGCGAUUAAUCUUGCAGCCCUUCCAGAUGA
rnacentral:misc_RNA from 1 species